GCAGUCAUCUUGCCUUUAACCAUCACCCAGAGUAUUUAAAAGGGAAAAGUGGGAGGCGUCAAAAAAACAGGGGGACAUGAAAGACAUAGGAAAAAGUAAUCAUGGAUAAAGACUUCCAUCUGCUGCACGUGAAACAGUGUCUGUUUACUCUGGACUUUGCUGGGUGCCUGUUCUCUACAGCAGGAAUGAAGCAAAAAGUGAAACCAUAAUUCCUCCCCAGAGUGACAGCAUUCUGGCCUGGGGAGCCGAAGUGUGCACAGGAAUCGGUCGCCGU
rnacentral:lncRNA from 1 species